ACCCAGACUGACGAGUCCCAAAUAGGACGAAAUGCGCAUCCUGGAU
rfam:Trichobilharzia regenti genome assembly, scaffold: TRE_scaffold0004723